GUUCGAUCCAUGGCUCAGAUUGAACGCUGGCGGGAUGCUUUUACACAUGCAAGUCGAACAGCAGCACGAACCUGGUCUGGUGGCGAGUGGCGAACGGGUGAGUAAUGCAUCGGAACGUGCCUAGUAGCGGGGAUAACUACGCGAAAGCGUAGCUAAUACCGCAUACGCCCUUCGGGGGAAAGCGGGGGACCUUCGGGCCUCGCACUAUUAGAAGCAGCAGCCGAUAUCGGAUUAGCUAGUUGGUGGGGUAACGGCUCACCAAGGCGACGAUCCGUAGCUGGUUUGAGAGGACGACCAGCUGCACUGGGACUGGACACGGCCCCAGACUCCUACGAGGAGGCAGCAGUGGGAAUUUUGGACAAUGGGGAAACCCUGAUCCAGCCAUCCGCGUGUGCGAUGAAGGCCUUCGGGUUAUAAAACGCACGGCGGGAAAGAAACGGCGCAGGGAUAAACCUGCCGUGCAACUGACAGUACCUGCAGAAUAAGCACCAGCUAACUACGUGCCAGCAGCCGCCGAUAUUACGUAGGGUGCAAGCGUUAAUCGGAAUUUACUGGGCGUAAAGCGUGCGCAGGCGGUUCGGAAGAAGAUCAUGAAAUCAGGGGAAAGCAGCUUUGGAACUGCAUUUUUAACUACCGAGCUAGAAGUGUGUCAGUUGGGUCCGGUGUAGCAGUGAAAUGCGUAGAUAUGCGGAGGAACACUGGAAUGGCGAGAUGGCCUCUGGGAUAAACACUGACGCUCAUGGAGACAUUGGGGAGCAAACAGGAUUCUAGAUACCCUGGUAGUCCACGCCCUAAACGAUGUCAACUAGCUGUUGGGGCCUUCGGACACGCUGGUAGCGCAACUAACGCGUGAAGUUGACCGCCUGGGAGUACGGUGCGAGAUUUAAAACUCAAAAUUGACGGGGACCCGCACAAGCGGUGGGAUGAUGUGGAUUAAUUCGAUGCAACACCCGAAAAACCUUACCUACCCUUGACAUGUCUGGAAUCCCGAGAGAUUUGGGAGUGCUCGCAAGAGAACCCGGAACACAGGUGCUGCAUGAGGGCAGUAGUCAGCUCGUGUCGUGAGAUGUUGGGUUAAGUCCUAACCAGGCGCAACCCUUAUCAUUAGUUGCUACGAAGGACACUCUAAUGAGACUGCCGGUGACAAACCGGAGGAAGGUGGGGAUGACGUCAGUCCUCAUGGCCAUAUGGGUAGGACUUCACACGAUCAUACAAUGGUCGGGACAGAGGGUCGCAGCCGCGAGGGAGCCAAUCCCAAAAACCCGAUCGUAGUCCGGAUCGCAGUCUGCAACUCGACUGCGUGAAGUCGGAAUCGCUAGUAAUCGCGGAUCAGCAUGUCGCGGUGAAUACGUUCCCGGGUCUUGUACACACCAACGCCCGUCACACCAUGGGAGUGGGUUUUACCAGAAGUAGUUAGCCUAACCAAUGGAGGGCGAUUACCACGGUAGGAUUCAUGACUGGGGUGAAGUCGUAACAAGGUAA
rnacentral:rRNA from 1 species